CUCAGGACGAACGCUGGCGGCGUGCCUAACACAUGCAAGUCAAGGAGAAAGUUCCCUUCGGGGAGCGAUUAAACUGGCGAACGGGUGAGUAACGCGUAGGUUAUCUGCCCAUACCUGGGGCAUAACAUCGAGAAAUCGGUGCUAAUAUCCCAUGAGGCGCUUGCGUCAAAGCUUCGGCGGGUAUGGAUGAGCCUGCGUCUGAUUAGCUAGUUGGUGGAGUAAAAGCCCACCAAGGCGACGAUCAGUAGCUGGUCUGAGAGGACGAUCAGCCACACUGGAACUGAGACACGGUCCAGACUCCUACGGGAGGCAGCAGUGAGGAAUUUUGGUCAAUGGGGGAAACCCUGAACCAGCGACGCCGCGUGUGGGAUGACAGGGCUAUGCCCUGUAAACCACUGUCGGGAGGGAAGAAAAGUCUAUUUAGUAGACCGGGACUGUACCUCCAAAGGAAGGAUCGGCUAACUACGUGCCAGCAGCCGCGGUAAUACGUAGGAUCCAAGCGUUGUCCGGAUUUACUGGGUAUAAAGGGUGCGUAGGCGGGCAUGUGCGUCAGGGGUAAAAUACAUCGGCUCAACCGGUGGCCUGCCCUUGAUACGGCAUGUCUUGAGUUCGAGAGAGGAUGAUGGAAUUCCUGGUGUAGCGGUGAAAUGCGUAGAUAUCAGGAGGAACACCAGUGGCGAAGGCGGUCAUCUGGCUCGCAACUGACGCUCAGGCACGAAAGCGUGGGUAGCAAACAGGAUUAGAUACCCUGGUAGUCCACGCCCUAAACGAUGUAUGCUUGGUGUUGGGAGUUUAUCUCUCAGUGCCGAAGGAAACCCAUUAAGCAUACCACCUGGGGAGUACGAUCGCAAGGUUGAAACUCAAAGGAAUUGACGGGGGCCCGCACAAGCGGUGGAUCAUGUGGUUUAAUUCGAUGCAACGCGAAGAACCUUACCCGGGCUUGAAGUGCAGAGGAAGCAGGCCGAAAGGUUUGCGCCCUUCGGGGCCUCUGUAGAGGUGCUGCAUGGCUGUCGUCAGCUCGUGCCGUGAGGUGUUGGGUUAAGUCCCGCAACGAGCGCAACCCCUAUCCUUAGUUGCCAUCGGGUAAUGCCGGGAACUCUAAGGAGACUGCCCACGCAAGUGGAGAGGAAGGUGGGGAUGACGUCAAGUCAUCAUGGCCCUUAUGUCCGGGGCUACACACGUGAUACAAUGGCAGAUACAGUAGGCGAAGCCGCGAGGUGGAGAUAAUCCUCAAAGUCUGUCUCAGUUCGGAUUGUAGUCUGCAACUCGACUGCAUGAAGCUGGAAUCGCUAGUAAUCGUAGAUCAGCUCGCUACGGUGAUACGUUCCCGGGCCUUGUACACACCGCCCGUCAAGCCAUGGAAGCUGGGGGCGCCCGAAGCCGUAAGAAAUUGCGUCUAAG
rnacentral:rRNA from 1 species